rnacentral:misc_RNA from 1 species
GAUGAAGAACGCAGCGAAAUGCGAUAAGUAAUGUGAAUUGCAGAAUUCAGUGAAUCAUCGAAUCUUUGAACGCACAUUGCGCCCCCUGGUAUUCCGGGGGGCAUGCCUGUUCGAGCGUCAUUACAACCCUCAAGCUCUGCUUGGUGUUGGGCCCCGCCGCCCCGGCGGGCCCUAAAAUCAGUGGCGGUGCCGUCCGGCUCCGAGCGUAGUAAUUCUUCUCGCUCUGGAGGUCCGGGUGUGUGCUCGCCAGCAACCCCCAAUUUUUUUCAGGUUGACCUCGGAUCAGGUAGGGAUACCCGCUGAACUUAAGCAUAUCAAUAAGCGGAGGA